CCAAAAGAGCAGAAUUUUCUUCAUAGCAUGGUCUCCUGAUACAUCAAGGGUGAGAAGCAAGAUGAUUUACGCUAGCUCCAAAGACAGAUUUAAGAGAGAACUUGAUGGAAUUCAGGUAGAAUUGCAGGCAACUGAUCCAACUGAGAUGGGACUUGAUGUCUUUAAAAGCCGUGCCAGCUGAAUGUGAACUGUAGGCCUUUGAGCGAGGACCUCCUCCAUUCGGUGUCUACUGGAGUGAAAUGUUUAUAGUUUGUGGGAUGGUGAAGCAGGACACAAUUGUUAUAUUGUUUCCCAGUUUUUCCAUGAAGUCUUUUUAUUCAUUUGGAGCAUGAAUCUAUGGUUUCUGGUAUAUCUUGUGAUUUGUUAUUUGUAGAACUCAUGUGUGUCGACUUGUAGUCUUAUGUCUACAAGCUAAUAUGUAACUGUUUGCAAGGGUCUAGACAACACAUUUAGUUCAUUUUCAAGUUAAGGUAUUUUGACAUCUGGUCAUAUGCUUUGGAAUGCUAAUUAGCAUGCUUUUAUUAGUUUCCGUUUCAGUGCUAAUUUAUUGGCUUCACAUUUGUUACCGCAUGGAUUAAUAUAAGAAGAGAACUGAUAUUAGUUUUCGGGCAGACUGUUUCUUAAUUAGUUUUCUUCUAAUGUUCCAAUUGGGUGAUGUGGAAAAGAUUCUCCAGCUAUCUUAACAAAUUAAUAUGUUACCAUUCUCGAAUGUCAACUUGAGUUCUGGAUGAUUGAGCUUGCCAGGCCAGCAUUUAGGGAAUAUGACGUGCUUAAGUGCCUUCGGUCAUCUAUUCUGUUGGCCAAUGAGUUGAGCGGAUGUUU
rnacentral:misc_RNA from 1 species